CAGCAGCCACGGGAAUACGCAGGUGGCAAGCGUUGUCCGGAAUUAUUGGGCGUAAAGGGCUCGCAGGCGGUUUCUUAAGUCUGAUGUGAAAGCCCCCGGCUCAACCGGGGAGGGUCAUUGGAAACUGGGAAACUUGAGUGCAGAAGAGGAGAGUGGAAUUCCACGUGUAGCGGUGAAAUGCGUAGAGAUGUGGAGGAACACCAGUGGCGAAGGCGACUCUCUGGUCUGUAACUGACGCUGAGGAGCGAAAGCGUGGGGAGCGAACAGGAUUAGAUACCCGCGUAGUCCCUGUCUCUUAUAA
rnacentral:rRNA from 1 species